rnacentral:rRNA from 1 species
UACGGGGGGGGCAAGCGUUGUUCGGAAUUACUGGGCGUAAAGGGCUCGUAGGUGGCCAACUAAGUCAGACGUGAAAUCCCUCGGCUUAACCGGGGAACUGCGUCCGAUACUGGCAGGCUCGAAUCCGGGAGAGGGAUGCGGAAUUCCAGGUGUAGCGGUGAAAUGCGUAGAUAUCUGGAGGAACACCGGUGGCGAAGGCGGCGACUCGUC